rnacentral:sRNA from 1 species
GUGAAAUAAAUCACAAACAAACAUACACCCCUUUGUUUGAACGUGAACAUUUCUCCCAUCCCCUUUGUGAAAAGAAGCAUCUCCCGUAGAGAUGCUUCUUU